rnacentral:rRNA from 1 species
AAGAAUACGCGGAGGAGGUGGCCCGGGUCGGUGUCGCCGCCGUCCGGCGCGGGCCACGGGCCCGCUUCCAAGUGUGUCUGCGCGCCGGCCACCCACGCCAUGUCCUUCAAGUGCCGCUUCCACCGCACCAACUCCCAGGGCCACGACCACGGCCAGGGCCAGGGAAGCCGCCCUUCUUCGCCCCCUUCACCGACCGCGGCCAAAGCGGUGCCACGGCACCCGGCCUCGCCGUCCUCGUCCUCCGGCACCAUCGCGAUCCAGUGA